AUCCCAUCUAUCGCAAAAAAAAAAAAAAAACACCAGAUCCCAUCGCCGCUGCCCUCGCACUCGCAUCCCUCCGCCGCCGCCCUCGCACAUCAAGCCUCCGCAGAUCCAUCCAUUUGCCGCCGCCCUCGCACAUGAAGCCGCCGCCGAUCCCUGUUCUACCUCGACGGGGGCCAUCGGUCGUCUCGCUACAACUUGAAGCUGCAACUUGGGCGGUGCCAUGGCUCCUUGUGCAGAGAAAACAAGACAAGGGGGAGGUCAGGGAGGAGCAGCAGGAGGAGUGAAGGAAAAGAAGGCGGCGGAGAAGGCCCUGCUCGCCGGAGAGGUCGAUCGGCGGCGACGAACUCCGAGCCGCACGUUCUGGCGACGGAGGGCUGGAACCGGUCGAUGGGGAGACCUGUAGGCGCGCGGCGGCGGCGGUUUGGGACGGCGGCGAAGCUGCAACUCGGACGGCGCCAUGGCUUCCUAUGCAAAGAAAACGAGACGAGGGGGAGGUCAGGGAGGAGCAGCAGGAGGAGUGAAGAAAAAAGGCGGCGGAGAAGGCCCUGCUCGCCGGAGAGCUCGCCUAGCGCCGACGCUCGCUGUAGCGGGAGUAUGCUCGGGCGUACCGGCAUGAGAGCUGCAGUUGGUGGGAAUUGGCUGCGGGCAUAGGAACCGUGGAUUGAUCCCACGUACACACAGCACUUCUCGGCUCUACGAAAUCCAUGGCUCAAGUGCGUGUCCCGGGAUCCGAGCCUCUAUCACUUCUUCAGUUCCGGCUUGCUUCAAGAACAAAAAAUUUCUGUGUGAAAGACCACUAGCAGAACUGAAUGUUGUAUGCACCUUCAUCUUGCAGUCCAAUUACUUGGAUUAUUUGGGACAAAUUCCUUUCUUUUUAACCGUACUACAGUUAGAUAGCAGGAUAAGGAUACAUGCUUGUACUGCCUCUAUCGUAAAUUGCACAUGAGUUGAUCCCGAGUUUAGACAGCUAGCAAUCAAUCGCUCUGAAGGUAUUGCUCUUUUAUUUUAUUUGAGAUCAUGAGGAAAUAGGUUCAGAUAUGUGACUACUCUAUGCUGUACUAACUAUUCUAUGUUGUACUGACUAUUCUAUGCGACCACCAACAGCAAGGGUUCUCUCAGCACUGUAGCGGCUUGCUCGAGUCGUCCACCACCGACCGCCGCUGGCGCAAGCUGAAACUCACCCGGGGGAGCACUGGCUGGCGCGACAGUGGCGGCGAGGACCAGGUCAAGGCUUCGCAAUAAGCGCCGGAUCAAGCCAUGAAACAUGUUGACGGAUUAGUUUUCCACCUCAUGUUUACUUCACCAUGUAGUUGGGUGUAACGCGAGUUCUGCUCUUCUUCUAGGCUGUUGGGAGGAGCGACCCUGCCAUCACGUGGAGAACGAGCGGCUCCUGGUGCUCGACAAGGUGCCUGAGCAAGGCAUAUUAGUGGACGUGGCUCGACCCUGAACGUGCUUUCCCCAAAUUUGUUCAGUGAGCAGUGCUAUCAUAUUCUCCUUGCUCUUAUCAUGGAAAGGUUUGGAGUUUGGGUCUUUUUAGUUCUCGCGUUCGGACCAAAAUGAGUGGGGGAGUGGAGAUUGGCAUGAAUAAUUGCAAUUUUUAACACAAGGUGAGACAAUGAAGGAUUUGUUGUCAAGAUAUCAAAAGUUGCUCAUAUCAACUGGAAAUAUAGAAGUUAUAUUCAGUCAUGCAGACAUAUAGUUUUUUUUUUUGCAUAUGAAAAUAGAUUGUCAAUGUAUAUUAUUUGGCUCAAUAAAUGGCGUUGUGAAUCACUUCGAAUUGUUUGUAAUAAUGACCAUUUUUUCAUACAACACCUUAAUAUGUAUAGCUUAUAAGGCUUUUAGUUUGUGAAUAAUUUGUUCAAAGAGUCACACUGUAUCAUCACACAAGGCAACGAAAUAUUAAGGUGAAGACUUUGUCAUC